ensembl:lncRNA
GCUGUUUCGGUUGGGUGGUGGCCAAUUCGUGAUGGGCCUCAUCCCAGCCCACACCCUCGCCGCAUGGAGGGCAGAAAGUGUCCAGCGCCCAUGGCUUUCUCCUUCCAGUGACCGCCAGCACCCUGACUCUGCUCUGUGCUUCUCACCCACAGUCAUGUGUUCCUGGCCCGUCAGGGGUCCUGGGGGCAGGAGGAGUUGGAGUGUAGCCCCUGAACCCAGUCUCCCAGAAGGCCCAUGACCAUGGGCAAGUCACGGGGCUGCUUGGACCUUGCUACUCAGUCUGAUGGCAAAAAGGCUGGAUAACUCAUCUCCAAGGUGCUGUCCACCUCUGACAUGCUGAGUGGGCCUCCUUCAUGGGGUCAAGCACAAAUACCAGCCUGCAGAACCCCAGCAGUGGAGGACGGACUCUGGGAACCCCAACUGUUCCCAGAACCCCAACUGUUGGGCCACGAGGCAGGGAGCACGGCUCUGCAGCUGGCCAGGAGAAGGGAGCUUGUGGGCCUGGGCUGGCCUCCCCAUUUCCCUGUGUCCCCAGAGGAUGCCUGCCUUCCCCAUGGCAGGCUGCCUGCUCGCCCUCCCAGUGGGCUGAGAAGGCUGUGAACACCAUGGGGCAGCUAGGGCUGCAGUGGAGAGUCAGAGAGAAGUGCAUUCCCUUCUGUCCCCUGCUUCCUGCCAGGAGGACCUCCAGGCGCUGACAGCUUUAACUGCUGGGAUAAAUGAGCAUCCAGGGCUCUGGUCUCUGGGACUUGCUCUUCUGCACAGGGGAAGGGAUACAGAAGCACAAGUGGAAGAUACGUCAUAGAGAAGCAUGAAGGCUGGGUGUGGAGUCCUUCCCCAAGGCCACAGAAGCGGAGCCCAGAAACAAGGUCACCUCCAGAACUGACUGAGCCCCUUUGUGACUGUUGCCAAAAGCCCCCUGAUCAUCACCAGCAGGCUUCCUGACCACAUACUGGGCAAAAAUGCCCACUCCAGUGCUCACCCUAAAGCACCCUAAACCAAUCACCUAAGGUCAACCCUCCAGCAGGAAUUUUUCUUUGUCUUGAAAGUGAAAGUUGCUCGGUCGUGUCUGACUCUUGGAGACCCCAUGGACUAUACACUCCAUGGAAUUCUCCAGGCCAGAAUACUGGAGUGGGUAGCCACUCCAGUCUUCUUUGUCUUGAGGCUAUUGAACUUGGCUACUAACCCGUGAAAGACGUUGACUCUCCCUGGCCUGUCGGGAGGUCGGCCCGCUGUGCUCGCAGUGCCUUCAUUAUCUCUGCUCCUUGCUCUUAAUAAACUCACUCCCUUCUGAAAUGCUCUGUGCCUGGGAAUUCUUUUCCGACCUGCGCUCAGAUUGCCAUGACACUGGGGAUAAGGGCCUUGUUUCUCCUGCUGCUGACACAGUUCAGUUGGUGCAACGUAAUGGAGGUGUGUGUGUGCACGUCCGAGUUUCAGGAACCAAAGGGGUGCCUGCAGACCAGGGUGUAUGUGGCUCUUAGCCAGCUGGCUGGUACGAGCCUUGCU